ACUCAAAUGAAUUGACGGGGGCCCGCACAAGCAGCGGAGCAUGUUGUUUAAUUCGAAGCAACGCGAAGAACCUUACCAGGUCUUGACAUCCGGCUAAAGCUAUAGAGAUAUAGUGUCCCUUUGGGGGAGCCGAGACAGGUGGUGCAUGGUUGUCGUCAGCUCGUGUCGUGAGAUGUUGGGUUAAGUCCCGCAACGAGCGCAACCCUUAUGUUUAGUUACUAACGCGUAGUGGCGAGGACUCUAGACAGACUGCCGUGGACAACUCGGAGGAAGGUGGGGACGACGUCAAAUCAUCAUGCCCCUUACGACCUGGGCUACAAACGUGCUACAAUGGCCACUACAACGAGGAACGAAGCCGUAAGGCGGAGGGAAUCUGAUAAAAGUGGUCCCAGUUCGGAUUGUGGGCUGCAACCCGCCCACAUGAAGUCGGAGUUGCUAGUAAUCGCGGAUCAGCAUGCCGCGGUGAAUACGUUCCCGGGCCUUGUACACACCGCCCGU
rnacentral:rRNA from 1 species